ensembl:lncRNA
AAUCAAUCAUAUCUUAAUCAAGAUAUCAAGAGGGUUUCCCCACACACAAGGUAAGUUAUCAUGUCACAUCCUCUCUCAGCUCUAUAAGAGGAGGGGCAACGAAGACAUACAUACAGCACAGGACCCACUGAACUCUGAGAACUGACCAGCCAUCAGCACCAUGAAGAUCUUCUUGCUGUUUCUUCUCACCAUCGUGGUGGUUACUGCAGCAACUCAUGUACCAUCUGCAUCAGACAAAUGUAAAUUUCAGCAUGUGCUUUUAGCAGAAAUCUUAGAACAUGUCAAAGGCAUGGAAGGAAAGGAGAUAAACAAGAGUUCUUGGAUUUAUGUUGAAAAUGUGAUAACACCCAAACACUGCACUCAUGAGAACUUCUGCAAAGCAGGGGUGGUUCUGUCAGCAUAUAAAGCAGAAGAGCUUGGACUAAAUGAAAAAGAAUGGCUGCUACCCCGUAGCCUUGUAGCCUACACCAGGAACACGCAAUGCAAUGUCAGUUCAUCGCUGGACCGAGUCGAAUUUCCACAACUUCUGGAAAACAUAAAACUGUGUUCUCAAAAGGAGUACAAAAAAAAUUGUGAUCAAAAGGAGCACUCCAAACCUUAGGAUUUAUGAAUACAACAUUUAUAUGAAUAUACAGUAUAUCUGUUCUAAUCCAUUACCCUUUAAUCAUGGAACUGUUUAUGGUCUGUUAUUUAUAAAUGAGAAGUUUCAAAUGUUACAUAUUAAAUUUGAAUUAAUAAAGAUG